rnacentral:rRNA from 1 species
UACGGGGGGGGCAAGCGUUGUUCGGAAUUACUGGGCGUAAAGGGCUCGUAGGCGGCCAACUAAGUCGGAUGUGAAAUCCCCAGGCUUAACCUGGGAACUGCAUCCGAUACUGGAUGGCUUGAAUUCGGGAGAGGGAUGCAGAAUUCCAGGUGUAGCGGUGAAAUGCGUAGAUAUCAGGAAGAACACCUAUGGCGAAGGCAGCUCUCUGGGACGGUACUGACGCUGAGACGCGAAAGCGUGGGGAGCGAACAGG